rnacentral:rRNA from 1 species
AUUGAACGCUGGCGGAAUGCCUUACACAUGCAAGUCGAACGGUAGCGCGGGGCAACCUGGCGACGAGUGGCGAACGGGUGAGUAAAGCAUCGGAACGUGCCCUGGAAUGGGGGAUAACGUAGCGAAAGUUACGCUAAUACCGCAUAUUCUGUGAGCAGGAAAGCAGGGGAUCGCAAGACCUUGCGUUCUGGGAGCGGCCGAUGUCGGAUUAGCUAGUUGGUAGGGUAAAGGCCUACCAAGGCGACGAUCCGUAGCGGGUCUGAGAGGAUGAUCCGCCACACUGGGACUGAGACACGGCCCAGACUCCUACGGGAGGCAGCAGUGGGGAAUUUUGGACAAUGGGCGAAAGCCUGAUCCAGCCAUGCCGCGUGAGUGAAGAAGGCCUCGGUUGGUUAAAGCGUCUUUCGGUUGGGGGAAGGAAAAGUUUAGGCAAUUGGGCGUAAUACCCUGUGUAGAUGACGGUACCUGGA